rnacentral:lncRNA from 1 species
AGCAACACGCGACGCCAUUCUCAUCUCCCCUACCACUACGUACGAUCUCUCUCUUUCUCUCUCAUGAGAUUGACAUGGCUCGUCUCUUCUGAUUUUGUACUUGCGUAUCCCUCUGUCGUGUUUUUUUUUUUUUUUUUCCUUCCUGAGUUUGAAUGGUUCGACCGUUGAACGUCGCUUCUGACAAAUGGGUGUUGCAUUUUCACGUUGGUGAAACGGUGGGGAGUAAUGGGGACGCGGUUGAUUUCGCUUCGCUUGCAACACGUGCCAACCGAUUAGUAUCACGCGAGUCGUUUGCGCGAUUGCCGUUUUGGAGUGUUUUUGACAUUUUCCUACGAAAGUCGCAGAAUCUUUAUUCGUUUGUCUAUCAUAUUCAUCUCAUGGUAUCUUAGUCCAGGAACGAGUUCUGCUGUUUAGUCUCCACUUUUUGUUGCCCAAGAAAUAAUUUUCUGUCUGUAGUCCUUAUGUUGAAUUAAGGGGUCUAGCCUUUGCUUAGUUACUAGAUGAUCUUUGUCAAGCAAACAGGUCUAAUAUCAAACUCAUUUGACAGACUGCGGUGUCGCUCGUCUCAAUAUUGCUUGUGGUGGGCUUGCCUACUUGUAAUUUUCUCGGCAUCCUAAGGCAUCAUUUGUCAUUGAAUAAACAUGAGUCAAAUUGCCGAGCUCUCUGCUGACAAAGGGCUUUGCUCGAGCACUGCUGGGUACACUGCGGGGCGAUACGCGCACCACGGGUCAUAUACUUCGCAAGGAUAUACCUCACAUGGAUGUCCUCUGCACGGUUAUCCACCGACUGGGUAUCCUCCGCCGGCUGGAUUCUCGAGCCAUGCUGGGUACGCUGCAGGGCAAUACAUGCACCAAGGGUCAUAUCCUCCACACGGAUAUGCUCCGCAGGGGUAUCCCCC